AUUGAACGCUGGCGGCAGGCUUAACACAUGCAAGUCGAACGAUGAUUAUCUAGCUUGCUAGAUAUGAUUAGUGGCGGACGGGUGAGUGACAUUUAGGAAUCUGCCUAGUAGUGGGGGAUAGCUCGGGGAAACUCGAAUUAAUACCGCAUACGACCUACGGGUGAAAGGGGGCGCAAGCUCUUGCUAUUAGAUGAGCCUAAAUCAGAUUAGCUAGUUGGUGGGGUAAAGGCCCACCAAGGCGACGAUCUGUAACUGGUCUGAGAGGAUGAUCAGUCACACCGGAACUGAGACACGGUCCGGACUCCUACGGGAGGCAGCAGUGGGGAAUAUUGGACAAUGGGGGCAACCCUGAUCCAGCCAUGCCGCGUGUGUGAAGAAGGCCUUUUGGUUGUAAAGCACUUUAAGCAGGGAGGAGAGGCUAAUGGUUAAUACCCAUUAGAUUAGACGUUACCUGCAGAAUAAGCACCGGCUAACUCUGUGCCAGCAGCCGCGGUAAUACAGAGGGUGCGAGCGUUAAUCGGAAUUACUGGGCGUAAAGCGAGUGUAGGUGGCUCAUUAAGUCACAUGUGAAAUCCCCGGGCUUAACCUGGGAGCUGCGUGUGAUACUGGUGGUGCUAGAAUAUGUGAGAGGGAAGUAGAAUUCCAGGUGUAGCGGUGAAAUGCGUAGAGAUCUGGAGGAAUACCGAUGGCGAAGGCAGCUUCCUGGCAUAAUAUUGACACUGAGAUUCGAAAGCGUGGGUAGCAAACAGGAUUAGAUACCCUGGUAGUCCACGCCGUAAACGAUGUCUACUAGCCGUUGGGGUCCUUGAGACUUUAGUGGCGCAGUUAACGCGAUAAGUAGACCGCCUGGGGAGUACGGCCGCAAGGUUAAAACUCAAAUGAAUUGACGGGGGCCCGCACAAGCGGUGGAGCAUGUGGUUUAAUUCGAUGCAACGCGAAGAACCUUACCUGGUCUUGACAUAGUGAGAAUCCUGCAGAGAUGCGGGAGUGCCUUCGGGAAUUCACAUACAGGUGCUGCAUGGCUGUCGUCAGCACGUGUCGUGAGAUGUUGGGUUAAGUCCCGCAACGAGCGCAACCCUUUUCCUUAUUUGCCAGCGGGUUAAGCCGGGAACUUUAAGGAUACUGCCAGUGACAAACUGGAGGAAGGCGGGGACGACGUCAAGUCAUCAUGGCCCUUACGACCAGGGCUACACACGUGCUACAAUGGUAGGUACAGAGGGUUGCUACACAGCGAUGUGAUGCUAAUCUCAAAAAGCCUAUCGUAGUCCGGAUUGGAGUCUGCAACUCGACUCCAUGAAGUCGGAAUCGCUAGUAAUCGCAGAUCAGAAUGCUGCGGUGAAUACGUUCCCGGGCCU
rnacentral:rRNA from 1 species